rnacentral:rRNA from 1 species
AACGUAGGGGACAAGCGUUAUCCGGAUUUACUGGGCGUAAAGCGCCCGUAGGCGGCUUUGUAAGUUGGACGUGAAAGCUCCCGGCUUAACUGGGAGAGGCCGUUCAAAACUGCAAGGCUAGAGUGAGGCAGAGGAGUGCGGAAUUCCCGGUGUAGUGGUGGAAUGCGUAGGGAUGUGGAGGAACACCAAUGGCGAAGGCAGCCUUCUGGGCCAACACUGACGCUCAUGCACGAAAGCGUGGGGAGCAAACAGG